AAAGGUCAGAGGGACUGGCCGUAGGCACAUGUGAAGCUUUCUUGCCAAUCUUCAUUGAACUCACACUUCAAAAGUCAUGGUUUUCUCUUUGUUUUAUUGUAAUUUUCUGUUUUAUUAUAAAGAAGAUUGCAGAAAAGAGGCAGAAUAGGAGAGCUGAAAGACAAAAAAAGAGUAUCUAAACAACAGAGGACACAUACUGGAAUCUCUGGAGCUCAUCCCUUCAGAGGGCCCUUCCCAGAAGAACUGUAUCUCCACUUCCUCGGUUCUCUGGAAUAAAUUACAACCUUAUGACUCAUGAGUCCAAACAGGACAGUCUUUACGUCUACCCAUCUUAUGACUGAUGUGGCUCUCAAGGAACAAUAAAACCUAAGCAAAUUAUGGGAACAAGCAUUUAUCAACCACGCAAAUGAAGCCAUUCUUUGUAUGUAUUAUGCAUCUCAAUCUCCAUAUAUGGUUAUCAACGUAAUAAUUCAAAGUUUUUCUACACCAGGAGUUCCAAAAUCAAGCUACAUUCAAAGAGAGAAACAACACAUUGGAUACUCAAGUUAUGAACCGUGAGAAGAGUCAGAAAUUCCUUAUAGGAUAGAACAUGUGCAAUUGAAAUCUAAUAUUAAGUUUUCUGUGGAAAAACACAUAUAUGUGUACUAUAUGGCUAUCUGAUCAUUUUAAAAACAUACUCAGAAUACUUUAAUAAAACACUGUGAGUAUGAAUUAUCUAUGCUUUAAACACUUUACUUCUCUUUCUGCAUUUAUGCCAUCACUUCUUAUCUCUUCAUACCUUGAACUUUUUCUUUUCCCCCUCUCUCACUCUAUGACUCCUGAACAAAACUGUCAUUUCCAAUAUCUAACUUCAUUAACUAAGUAGGGAUGGCAGAUGUUUAUUAUCACCAAAAUGCAGCAUAACAUUUGCAAACUGGUUUAUGACAUGCAUCUUUAUAAAGUGCUCAGUGAAAUGCAUAAACGAUUGAUUGAAAAUUGGUCAAAGAGAAUAUUGAGUACUUUAUUAGUUACUGGCUAAAGCUAAGGAGUUACAGAAAAGCAUCAUAUCUAAAUAAGGAGUUUUAUUUGAAAUAUGUAAUUUCAUUAUGAAUAAAUUCCAUAAAAUAAACUAAGAAUUGCUAAAU
rnacentral:lncRNA from 1 species